CUGAAAACACACAAUUUAUCCUCCCUUUAAUAUGAGGAAAGGUAGGAAUGGCAGCCUUGCUGAGCUUCAAAAGAAGAACUCAGCCUUAUCUCCUUUCCCUGCCACUGGCACACACCAGAUGUGCUUUUCUUGGCAACGCUGCUGGAAGGAAAAGCCCAAUAAAGGACCCUUUUCCCUAAUCCACCCCCUGCAGCAAGGAGGUGGUUGGGAUGCUCCUGAGCUAGUGGUUAUGCCAUGGUUAAUGGAACAAUGCCAGCAACAAGAUGUCCUGUGGCAAAGUGUGCUGUAGGACUUUCUUGGUUAUGCCACGAUUCAUAGGAUGAGUCCAUCAAUACAGUCCCAGUUGUGUGUCUGCCCUGUUUGCCUUCUCAGUGCCCAUGGGCUUACUGUGAAAGACUGGUGCUCGUGGGGGACAACUGCCCUCUCCUCUACGUACCAGAGAAUGGCUUAGGUUGGAAAGAGACCUUAAAGUUCAUCCACUUCCAACCCCCCUGCCAUGGUCUGGUUACCACCCAUCAGAUCAGGUUGCCCAGGGUCCUGUCCAACCUGGCCUUGAGCACCUCCAGGGACGGGGCAUCCACUUUGGGCACUUCCAUCUUGCACAAGGGAAAUGCAGUUAAAACAAUGAUGAGCUACAAAUCUGUGGUGCCUACAGAAUGGCGGGGCGGCUGUUUUCCUCUGCAGCCCUAAUCCGUGACCACCUGUCUUGUCCCCUUGUGUCAAUCCCUUUUAGCCUUAGUUCCUACUGAUGGGGGAAAUUGAGAUCUGGGGGCUGAGUGCAGGAAGAUGGCAGGAGAGGGAAAGGGUGGCCAUGAAGAAGGCUCCUAUUUAAUUGCAUUUAUAAUAAAUGAUAUCCACUAGCAGUACUAAUUGCACUCAGGUGGGUGAGUUGGGCAGCCAAGUCUGGACCUGCGGAGUUGGGCAGCUGAGGUACCCAUGUUCUGGACUUGGGAGCAUGGGUCAGUUUGAGCUGGAACCCCAAAUCAGUUGGUGCUAAGGACACCAACAGGAUUUGAAGACCCCAAACAAGACCCAUUGGUUGCUUCAGGCUCCUGGAAAUCUUGUCCAUGCUGCACUGCUUCACUUGCCAUGGUUUUAUCCCCUUAAACCUCCCCACCUCACUGCAUCAAUGGGCGUACAACUCCCAAGCAGUUACCAAGUAUUUACAUUUCUAACUCAACAAAUCAUCUUUCCCCAGACUCUGGCAUUUAAUAAAUCCUCAUUGGCUGGGCACUGCUUUCAUCAACUCAACAUUUCUGUUACUAAUCUUUACCUUUCAUUAAAUUCAGGCUUGCGUUUAUUAAUACUUUCAAUCUGUCCUCACCAUGGCUCACCACGGUGGGAUGGAGAAAAACAAGGGAUAUUUUUUUUUUAUUAAAGUGAGAGGGAAAGUCUUGAACUCCUUUGGGAACCUCCAUGAGAUCUCUGUCACUUCCAAGGUGUAAAACACUUACUCCCAACACUAAAUUAAAUGAGAGGGGAAGGAGAGGGAUAAAGAUGUCUCUGUAAAUCACUUGGAGCCACACAGUUAGUUUCUGUUCAGCAUCUUUCAUUAUUGCAAUCAUAAAUCAGCAGCUGAAGCCCAAGAGAGUAUGAAGGUGAGAUUUAUUGACAUGGGAAACCUGGGAGAGGAACAGCUCGGAGGAUAUAGAGCCAUUAUUUUUGCCUCCGGCAUGGCCCAGGGUCGUGGAUCUCUUCUGGUCCCCUUCCUUCUCCAAAAUGUGCUGGAAAAUUUUUGUAAUUAUUAUUAUUUUCCAUACAAUCAUAAGCAAGUUGGCUUCACCCUUCACCCGCUGCUCUUUCUGAGCAGCUGGAAGAGGGAUGCUCUGACCCUGCAUUGACCAAAGGACAGCAGUGCAGGGAAUGCAUGUUAAUUUACCCCUUGAAAGCCUGAGAGAGAGGAGGCAAAGUAGGAGCAUCUGUCAGAGCCACACAGUUGCAUUUCCCAUGGAGGAGCUUGGGAACAGCCAUGGGAAGAUGCAUUUUGUCUUCCAUGCCCAAAGGGUUAACCCUGCUUUGAGUCACCAUGGGUGGAAAUAAUCCCUGGGCUGAUAGCUGCCCAAAGCUCAGCGCAGAGGUGAUGGUUGGUGACUCCUUGAACCAACACAGGGACAACAAAAUGUGAUGUAAAGCAGAGAUGUCUUCCAUCAGGACGAGAGAAUGAUUGGGUUGAAAGGAGCCUUAAAGCCCACCCAGAUCCAACCCCUGCCGUGGAGUGGCUACCCUUACCUGAUCAGGCUGCCCACGGCCCCAUCCAACCUGCCCUUGAGCACCUCCAGGGAUGGGUCAUCCACAACUUCUUUGUGCAUCCUAUUUCAGGGCCCCCCACCCCCAGAGAAAAGAAUUUUAUCCUCACAUUUCACCUAAAUCUCCCCUCUUCUAGUUUAAAACCAUUCCCUGUUGUCCUGUCACUAUCAGACCAUAUUAAAAGUAAAGGAAGGAGAGCAGCACAGCCCUUCAUGAUCUCCAUGGUUGACUAUUGGAAGCCACAACGCAUGCGAUUAAUACAAGAAAAAACACUCCAGGCUCCUUUUGAACCAAAGGAAAUCUCUCCUUGUCUUGAUGUCCCCUGGACAGGAGUGGCCUCUGUGAUGGUACCAGCAGGGAAGCACAGGAUUGCCAUGUGGGUCCAAAAAGAAGAUAUCAUGUCUAGAAGUCCCUUUGGCACAGGGGAUUUUUCACCAUGGAGCUCUCGUGCCUCUGAUGGACAUUGAUUUAAACCUUCAUGCUUCUACUUGCUCUGAGGUCCAACUGGCUAAUCUGGGAAGUGGGUGCUGGAGAACUGAGCCAGCACUUGUCUCCUGCUCUCGUCUUCUACCGAGUCUCCACCCGUAGCUGCUUGCCCUGGCUGUCUACAUUCUCAUGGUCCAUGGAGCAUCUCCACCUCUAGCACUCAAUGUGCUCAGCAAUUUGCAGGAAGAAACACUUAUGGACCUCUGGAAGCCUUUCUUGAGGUGUAAAAUAAACUUUUAGCCAACAAAUUUCAUAUCCCCUCAUUUGGGAGGAGAUCUGAAUUAAUACACUCCACCUUAUGUCUAUCCGACACACUCAUCAUUCCUUAAUUCAGCAACUCCUUGUUGUACAGCAUCCACAUGGUCCUACCCCACCCAUGGUUACUCCUACCAUGUUGCUAUGGGCUUGGUGGAGGAAUGGGGAUAACAGAAUCAUAGAAUCACUAAGGUUGGAAAAGACCACUAAGAUCAUCUGGUCCAACCAUCCACCUACCAUCAAUAUUGCCCACUAAGCCAUGUCUCUCAGUGUGCCACAAGUCCACAUUUCCUGAAUGCCUCCAGGGACAGAGGCUCUACCUCUGCCCUGGGCAGCCUCUUCCAGUGCCCAAUCACACUUUUGGAAAAGUUUUCCUCCAACAUCCAAUCUGAAGAGCUGCCUUCAACUUUCCAAAAGUUUCCAGUCUUCUCCGCUUCAUCUCAAAGAUCCAACACUCCAUCCUUUGAGCAAAGGCUGGUAAAGCCUUUUCCAUUCAUGUGGCAAAAAGCACCAAUAUGGAUUUUAUUGGAUGCUGAAUGUUUAAUUUUUUUUUUUUUUAAAGGGAAAUUAAACAGCUUGUUAUGCUCCUCUCCCUAAAAUUCAGGACUCGGAGACUUGUUUGACUAUGACUAACUUAAGGUGUUACUCUGCUGCAAUCCAAACACGCUUUCUGCCAAUGAAAACAGAAUUCCCUAAAACAGCCCUGCUUUUAUCUGCCAGCCUAUAAAUAAAAAGGCACAAAGUUGCAAGUUCUGCACUUUCAGCCAAAAAUAAACCUUCUAAACUAAGAACACUGAACUGCAAAGCUUCACAAUCUGCUGAACAAAACGUAAAUAUUGCAUAUUGGCAAUCCAACAGCACUGCUGCCUUCCGAGUGGGCCAGAUGUUCCACGCUUCAGGGUGCAGUGGGCAAUGGGCAAGUCCACAUAACAUGGUUUUUGCUGGGAAUCUUGUAAACUGGGUGAGCAACUUGGUCUGCAGACUUCUGGGAAGUGGGAGG
ensembl:lncRNA